rnacentral:rRNA from 1 species
UACGAAGGGUGCAAGCGUUAAUCGGAAUUACUGGGCGUAAAGGGUGCGUAGGCGGUUGUUUAAGUCUGCCGUGAAAUCCCCGAGCUCAACUUGGGAAUUGCAGUGGAUACUGGCAGGCUGGAGUAUGGUAGAGGAAGGUGGAAUUCCCGGUGUAGCAGUGAAAUGCGUAGAGAUCGGGAGGAACACCAGUGGCGAAGGCGGCCUUCUGGACCAAUACUGACGCUCAUGCACGAAAGCGUGGGGAGCAAACAGG